UUUUGCACAAUGGGGGAAACCCUGAUCCAGCCAUCCCGCGUGUAUGAUGAAGGCCUUCGUGUUGUAAAGUACUUUUGGCAGAGAAGAACAGUUAUCUCCUAAUACGAGAUACUUCUGACGGUAUCUGCAUAAUAAGCACCUGCUAACUACGUCCUAGCAGCCGCGGUAAUACGUAGGGUGCAAGCGUUAAACGGAAUUACUGGGCGUAAAGCGUGUGUAGGCGGUUCGGAAAGAAAGAUGUUAAAUCCCAGGGGUCAACCUUGGAACUGCAUUUUUAACUGCCGAGCUAGAGUAUGUCAGAGAGGGUUAGAAUUCCACGUGUAGCAGUGAAAUGCGUAGAUAGGUGGAGGAAUACCGAUGGCGAAGGCAGCCCCCUGGGAUAAUACUGACGCUCAGACACGAAAGCGUGGGGAGCAAACAG
rnacentral:rRNA from 1 species